CGUGCUCCUCGCAAAACCCAUUUGAGCUCCCCUUCUGAUACUGCUUGUUUUUGAUGUUUUAAUCAAGUAUUAUAUUUUCUUCCUAUCAAAUUUACAGGAAAGUGCUGUUCUUUGCAGAAACAUUUCUGUAGUCGGCGGCAGAUCUUUGAAUUGGUCAUUUUCUGUAGCCGACUUGUAAAUUGUCUUGGUCUUUGUUUCAUAUCGGUGGUUUAUUUUUCGUGGUCGACUCAGAAAUUUCCUUAUAAUUAUCUUUACCUUCUUCAAUAUGAAGACUUAGAUAAGCCCGCAGGAACCAAAUUUAUUAUAAAAUCUCAAGAUCUUUUGUAUUCUCCAAUUUUGCCAUUUCCAAACUUUAUUGUUAUUUCAAGUUUCAGGUGCUGUUGAUAAGAGAGAGAAAGAGGUUGCAAGUCAAAAAAAAAAGAGAGAGAAAGAGGUUUUGAGUCUUGAAAUUUGGAGGAGUUUGUUAGCUGAUUGAUGGGAGGGAAGAGCUCAAAAGGGUCGAGUAGGAGGCAUAUUUCAUCAUACGGUGCAUCCAAUUCAUCAUCAUCAUGGAAUCAGUACGGAUACCCCCA
rnacentral:misc_RNA from 1 species